rnacentral:rRNA from 1 species
GACGAACGCUGGCGGUGUGCUUCACCCAUGCAAGUCGAACGAGUGGCGGACGGGUGAGUAACACGUGGGAAUCUACCAUUAGGUGGGGAAUAACAGGCCGAAUGGACUGCUAAUGCCGCAUCCCUUUUGAUGAGCCCGCGUCCGAUUAGCUAGUUGGUAGGGUAAAAGCCUACCAAGGCGACGAUCGUUAGGUGGUCUGAGAGGAUGAUCACCCACAAUGGGAAUGAGACACGGCCCAGACUCCUACGGGAGGCAGCAGUGGGGAAUUUUACGCAAUGGGGGAAAUCCUGAAGUAGCGACGCCGCGUGAGCGAAGAAGCCCUUUGGGGUGUAAAGCUCUGUCAACGGGAACGCGGUACCUGUGGAGGAAGCAUCGGCUAACUACGUGCCAGCCGCCGCGGUAAUUC